GCCCUUGUGGAUCAGCGGUAGAUCGCCCACUGUGUAUACAUACUGGACCGCGUGCAUAGAUGGGAAGCAGGGGUUCGAACCCCCUCAAGGGCG